rnacentral:rRNA from 1 species
CCCUUAGAUGUCCUGGGCUGCACGCGCGCUACCCUGGAAGUUACGGAUUGAGAUACUACCUUGUCCGAAAUGGUCCGGGUAAUCACCUAAAAGCUUGUCAUAAUUGGAAUGGAUUAUUGUAACUAGUAAUCCUGAACGAGGAAUUCCUAGUAAGUCCCAGUCAACAGCUGGUACUGAUUACGUCCCUGCCCUUUGUACACACCGCCCGUCGCUACUACUGAUUGGACGUUUAAGCAAGAUUUUUAAACACUGACAGUGUGUAGUUCACGCUAUACUACAGUGAGAAGAAGAAGAUCGAGCUUACUUGUCUAGAGGAAGUAAAAGUCGUAACA